UUAUCGGUUGCUUUGUUUUGGUACAGCCAACUUGCGCGUGGUGAUAGUAUCGGCUUUCGAAAAGUACACAUCUGUUAUUAAAACAUUAAAAAGUACACAAUCGAGUUGGGUGUUAAAUUACACCGGAACCCAAUUUAAAGUCCAUUGAAAGGCUUCUAAUUUGCUCAAACAGCUAGAAAGUGAAAUUCGAUGCGAUACAUAAAAUCGCCCACCCAAACACCAACACAACAUCGAAGCAAAACAAACGAUCGGAUGAAUGAUUUUCCAUAAUAUUUUGUUAUGCUCGAGGGGAGUUUGUGUUGCGACGCAAUAAAAAGGCAUCGAGAAGUCUGCACUGCACAAACCAUAGCAACCAGUAUAGCACGCACACACUCAAUUCCACCAGCCAACUUCGUUUACAACUCCCGGUGUAAUCACUUCCACACACUCGAAAUAUUUGACACAGUUUGUGUUCCAUUCGCCGCAUGGCCCUGUGCCGUUCGAUUCGGUUCGAGCAAAGCGGUAGUGCUCUGGAAGGUUACUAGUGAGAGCGCACUCCCAUCGGUCACGUAGACAGAACAAAAUUUGUUUUUUGUGUCUACUUUUUGCAUUAGAAAACAUUACCAGUACAUGUUAGUGCGUAAUAAUCAGUUUAUUCACAGUUACAAGUGUGAUUCCGAGGACAAUCCUUGUGGUAAACACAAACAUUGGAUCGAUUUCUGGCAUAGCCCACCAAACACUGGCACCGGUUGAUCGUCCUCAUAGCCAGCGUUGCCAGGUAUCCAGAUUUAGCUGGAUUAUCCAGAUUUUUGAACAUGUAUCCAGAUUUUUGAAAAAAUGACCUGGCAACGCUGCUCAUAGCACACAGCUGGCCAUAGGUUCCACAAGAUUUCCCACACGGUCUACCGAUACGACGAAAGGUUUCAUUAGCGGGACAAUCCUGAGCUAGAGAACAAAGAAAAAACGGCAUUGAAGUUCAAAGCGAAUCACACUUUUUCAAUCACCUACGAAGAACCGUUUCUUCCGGAAGUAGAAAGCGACUGCCGAAACUGCGCCACCAUAAAUACGCUGCGACGUGAGGUGCGUUGAAGAAGUUACUGCACAGCAGAAAAAGCACCAACGGAAACGUGGCUGACAACAUUUCCCUCGAUUGUUACUCACUGUGACUGUCACAAAGAAACUAAAUUUAGCUGGCAAAGUUCUCCCAAGUUUGACCAAAUCAUUUUGGUGUAGUUAAUAGUUUAAUCAUUUUCCCAUUAGCACCAUCGGUGGAAGUUUAUUUCUGUUACAAAACCUAAAUUAAUCCACCUAGCGGUCAGACCCAGCCUUUCUCAUUCAAACUUGUUAUUUGUAAAAAUAGAUUUACAUGGACGCUUCAAUCCAAUUAAAGUAUAUUCACUCUUUAGGUUCUAAAAUAUUGAUGUUGUAAUGGAUACAUAUAAUAAGAAAUUUGACGUAAUGUUAGUGCUUAAGAAAUAGCGAAAUAAAA